rnacentral:rRNA from 1 species
CCAGCAGCCGCGGUAAUUCCAGCUCUCAAAGUGCAUAGAAUUAUUGCUGCGGUUAAAAAGCUCGUAGUUGGAUCUGUGCCAUAGGACGUGGUCCACCUUCGGGUGCGUACUACGCUCCUAGGCUUUUUGCUGGUUUUCCCGUCGUAGCCUUCACUGGUUGCGGCGGGUGGCUGGCGAGUUUACUUUGAGAAAAUCAGAGUGCUCAAUACAGGCGUAUCGCUUGAAUGAUUGUGCAUGGAAUAAUAGAAAAGGAUUUCGGUCCUCUUUUAUUGGUUUUGUGGACUGAGAUAAUGGUUAACAGGGACAAACGGGGGCAUUCGUAUCUCUGCGUGAGAGGUGAAAUU